AUUGAACGCUGGCGGCAGGCCUAACACAUGCAAGUCGAACGGUAACAGGAAUAAGCUUGCUUCUUUGCUGACGAGUGGCGGACGGUUGAGUAAUGUCUGGGAAACUUCCUGAUGGAGGGGGAUAACUACUGGAAACGGUAGCUAAUACCGCAUAACGUCGCAAGACCAAAGAGGGGGACCUUCGGGCCUCUUGCCAUCUGAUGUGCCCAGAUGGGAUUAGCUAGUAGGUGGGGUAACGGCUCACCUAGGCGACGAUCCCUAGCUGGUCUGAGAGGAUGACCAGCAACACUGGAACUGAGACACGGUCCAGACUCCUAAGGGAGGCAGCAGUGGGGAAUAUUGCACAAUGGGCGCAAGCCUGAUGCAGCCAUGCCGCGUGUAUGAAGAAGGCCUUCGGGUUGUAAAGUACUUUCAGCGGGGAGGAGGGGAGUAAAGUUAAUACCUUUGCUCAUUGACGUUACCCGAAGAAGAAGCACCGGCUAACUCCGUG
rnacentral:rRNA from 1 species